GGCUGUACUCAGCGUUUUGUCGGGGGAAAUGGCAUUACAUUUCACGUGUUCCCUAAGGAUGAAAACCGAAGGCAGCUUUGGAUACAGGCCCUGAAUCGGAAAAACUUUAAGCCAUCUGCACAUACGCGCCUUUGCUCGAAGCACUUCGAGGAGAAAUGUUUUGAUAGGGCUAAGACUGGAGGGAAUUGGUUAAGAAGUGAUGCUAUCCCGACACUUUUCGAUUUUACAGAGCAUAUGAAAUCGAAGAGGCCUAACCUCCGUAAAUAACACACUAGAAGGCGUUCGUUAGAUGAUGCCUCGUCUCCUGAAAUCUGUGCUUUCAAUGCCUUGACGUUAUGCGAUAUGGAAACGAACACCCCGAAAAACAAAAGUUUCAGGUAUAUUGGGGACUUUUCGAAUAGCGAUUUGUGUACUCCUGGCAUAGCAGAAAAAGUGAUAGAUGUGGCAAGACGGCAGAUUAGCAACAAAGCCAGAAAGUUAAAGAAUUUGCAGCGGUCAUCUCGUGGGAUUAAGAAGAAAGUCUUGUCUUUGAAAUCUUUGAUAAAUAAUCUUGAAAAUAAUCGUGUUAUAAAUGAAUCCCUGGCUAAUUUACUAAAGGCAAGUAUAUUUACAAUGCCUGUCAUUUUUAAAAUGUAUGACUGAUUGCAGGUUGCAAUACUUAUGCUUAAAUGAUGUGGCUUUUUGCUAUCAGAUGCUGCCACCUGGUACUUCGGAGUUGCUCCAACGUGUCAGUAAAGGUAAAGAAGCAAAUAUGUAUCCAGCAGCUCUUCGGACCGUUGCUCUAUCACUAAAUUUUUACAGUAGCAAGGCAUAUAGCUAUGUAAGGAAAAAUUUUAAAACAUCACUGCCACAUCCACGAACAUUAAGAAAAUGGUACAGUGUUGUUGAUGGGGAUCCUGGUUUCAGUAAAGAAGCAGCAAUAGCGCUUAGAAUAAAGAGUCAGGAACUCAUUAGCAAAGGUAAGAAAUUGCUUUGUGUCAUGUCAUUUGAUGAGAUUGCCAUAAGGAAGCAUGUUGAAUUUUGUGGAAAUAAGUUUAUUGGUUACAUAGAUUAUGGUACAGAUCUUGACUAUGACAAUCUGACUGUUGCAAAUGAGGCAUUAACACUCGUGUUGACUGCUGUUAAUGGUUCAUGGAAAAUUCCAAUUCACUACUUUUUAGUGAAUGGCCUGGGUGCUGUUGAAAAAUCAAACCUACUUAAGGAGGCAUUGAAAUUUACAUAUGAUGCUGGAGUAGAAGUAAUUUCUGUUACUUUUGAUGAUGCUCACGUAUACACUGCAAUGGUAGACAAGCUAGGGGCCUGUCUUUCAACGUGCAGAAUGAAAUCUUUUUUUAAACAUCCUCUAUGUAAGGAUGUUGUUUGCAUAUUCCUUGAUCCAUGUCACAUCUUCAAGUUAAUACGCAAUACAUUAGCUGGUAAAGGUGUCAUUUUCAAUGGAAACAGAAAUCCAAUAAAAUGGGAUUAUGUAUUAAAAUUACAUGAGCUGC